rnacentral:rRNA from 1 species
UACAGAGGUGGCAAGCGUUGUUCGGAAUUACUGGGCGUAAAGGGUGCGUAGGCGGUUGGGUAAGUCUGUCGUGAAAUCUCCGAGCCUAACUCGGAAACUGCGUCGGAUACUAUUCAACUCGAGGAAUGGAGGGGAGACUGGAAUUCUCGGUGUAGCAGUGAAAUGCGUAGAUAUCGAGAGGAACACCAGUGGCGAAGGCGAGUCUCUGGACAUUUCCUGACGCUGAGGCACGAAAGCCAGGGGAGCAAACGGG